GACGAACGCUGGCGGCGUGCUUAACACAUGCAAGUCGAACGGAAAGGCCCUGCUUGCAGGGUGCUCGAGUGGCGAACGGGUGAGUAACACGUGGGUGAUCUGCCCCUUACUUUGGGAUAAGCCUGGGAAACUGGGUCUAAUACUGGAUAGGACCAUGCUGUAGGUGGUGUGGUGGAAAGAUUAGUUUCGGUAAGGGAUGAGCUCGCGGCCUAUCAGCUUGUUGGUGGGGUAAUGGCCUACCAAGGCGUCGACGGGUAGCCGGCCUGAGAGGGUGGACGGCCACAUUGGGACUGAGAUACGGCCCAGACUCCUACGGGAGGCAGCAGCGGGGAAUAUUGCACAAUGGGCGCAAGCCUGAUGCAGCGACGCCGCGUGGGGGAUGACGGCCUUCGGGUUGUAAACUCCUUUCAGCCAUGACGAAGCCCUUGUGGUGAUGGUAGUGGUAGAAGAAGCACCGGCUAACUACGUG
rnacentral:rRNA from 1 species